GUCUGAUGCAGCAACGCCGCGUGGAGGAUGACACAUUUCGGUGCGUAAACUCCUUUUAUAUGAGAAGAUAAUGACGGUAUUAUAUGAAUAAGCACCGGCUAACUCCGUGCCAGCAGCCGCGGUAAUACGGGGGGUGCAAGCGUUACUCGGAAUCACUGGGCGUAAAGAGCAUGUAGGCGGAUUAAUAAGUUUGAAGUGAAAUCCUAUAGCUUAACUAUAGAACUGCUUUGAAAACUGUUAAUCUAGAAUGUGGGAGAGGUAGAUGGAAUUUCUGGUGUAGGGGUAAAAUCCGUAGAGAUCAGAAGGAAUACCGAUUGCGAAGGCGAUCUACUGGAACAUUAUUGACGCUGAGAUGCGAAAGCGUGGGGAGCAAACAGGAUUAGAUACCCUGGUAGUCCACGCCCUAAACGAUGUACACUAGUUGUUGUGAGACUUGAUCUUGCAGUAAUGCAGUUAACACAUUAAGUGUACCGCCUGGGGAGUACUUC
rnacentral:rRNA from 1 species